rnacentral:rRNA from 1 species
UGCCUAACACAUGCAAGUCGAACGAGAAAUUUCACUGAGUAAUCGGAGAAAAAGUAAAGUGGCAGACGGGUGAGUAACAGGUGGGUAACCUGCCCUUAAAUUGGGGAUACCCCAUCGAAAGGUGGGCUAAUACCUAAUAAGACUACAAUCACUUAGGUGGAUGUAGUAAAAGAUAGCCUUUCAAAAGCUUUUGUUUAAGGAGGGGCCCGCCUACCAUUAGCUAGUUGGUAGGGUAAUGGCCUACCAAGGCGACGAUGGUUAGCUGGUCUGAGAGGAUGAUCAGCCACACUAGAACUGAGACACGGUCCAGACUCCUACGGGAGGCAGCAGUGAGGAAUUUUGCGCAAUGGGGGAAACCCUGACGCAGCGACGCCGCGUGGGUGACGAAGGCCUUCGGGUCGUUAAACUC